ACAGUCUGCCUAUGAAGGGUACAAUGCCUGUGUGUUUGCUUAUGGACAAACAGGGACAGGGAAGACAUUCACCAUGAUGGGGGACCCUGAACAAGUUGGCCUAACACCAAGGAUAUGUGAGGGCCUUUUUGCUCGUAUGGAUGACACAGAUGAAGGAGAACAUAUUUCAUACAGGAUAGAUGUUAGUUACCUUGAAAUUUACAAUGAGCGUGUUCGUGAUCUUCUUGCCCAUCCACUUUCAAAGCAUCAUGAAAAAUAUACUCUCAAAGUUCGUGAAC